UACGAAGGGGGCUAGCGUUGCUCGGAAUCACUGGGCGUAAAGGGUGCGUAGGCGGGUCUUUUAAGUCAGGGGUGAAAUCCUGGAGCUCAACUCCAGAACUGCCUUUGAUACUGAGGAUCUUGAGUUCGGGAGAGGUGAGUGGAACUGCGAGUGUAGAGGUGAAAUUCGUAGAUAUUCGCAAGAACACCAGUGGCGAAGGCGGCUCACUGGCCCGAUACUGACGCUGAGGCACGAAAGCGUGGGGAG
rnacentral:rRNA from 1 species